rnacentral:tRNA from 1 species
GCCUGGUUGGCUCUGUCGGUUAAGCAUCCAACUCUUGGUUUGGGCUCAGUCAUGAUCUCAUGGUUCGUGGGUUCAAGCCCUGCAUCAGGCA